rnacentral:rRNA from 1 species
AUUGAACGCUGGCGGCAUGCCUUACACAUGCAAGUCGAACGGCAGCGGGGGAGAAGCUUGCUUUUCCUGCCGGCGAGUGGCGAACGGGUGAGUAAUACAUCGGAACGUGCCCUGCAGUGGGGGAUAACUAGUCGAAAGAUUAGCUAAUACCGCAUACGACCUGAGGGUGAAAGUGGGGGACCGCAAGGCCUCAUGCUAUAGGAGCGGCCGAUGUCUGGUUAGCUAGUUGGUGGGGUAAAGGCCUACCAAGGCGACGAUCAGUAGCUGGUAUGGAAGGACAAUCGGCCAAACUGGGACUGAGACCCGACCCAGACUCCUACGGUAGGCAGCAGGGGGGAAUUUUGGACAAUGGGCGAAAGCCUGAUCCAGCAAUGCCGCGUGUGUGAAGAAGGCCUUCGGGUUGUAAAGCACUUUUGUCCGGAAAGAAAUGGCUCUGGUUAAUACCUGGGGUCGAUGACGGUACCGGAAGAAUAAGGACCGGCUAACUACGUGCCAGCCGCCGCGGUAA